AGCCUUGAGGUGUUUUACAUGCAGGAUUGCAAACCCUGAGUCGCGAAUUGACGUUUGCCGGGGCUU
rnacentral:tRNA from 1 species